AGGGCAAUUACAAAAUGGGACUCACUCUCCUCUUCAUGUGUCAUCCCAGCAAGCUUAUUUAUAAUAUUUUUCUUUGGUUAUUCUGUGCUACAAACAAUAAAACAAGUUAGGAAUCACAGUACAAACUUCAUACUACCUCAAAUUUGCUCCAAAACAAAAUACUCUCAACUUGACAAACUGAAGUCUUCUCCAUGAAAGUCAGAGGGAAAAAAAAAAAUAUUAAGUACAUAUAUUUAAAUGAAGUCAACUAAAAGCCAAAAAUAUUUAAUAGAUUUAGCAAUUAAAAUGAAAUUAUUCCAUGCAAUACUUAAUUUGCUUUUUUUUUUCUCCCCAAGCUACUAUUUGAAAACUAACUCACAGUUAAGCUUAUAGACCCCAAUUCAUGUAGUUACCUGUAUUAUUACUACAUCUGUAUUACCAGAAAGGGUAGCUGAACAUAUUGAUGAUUUUUUUUUAAUCACUUGGUCCUUUGGUUGGGCAACAAGUUGUUUUCUUGUAAUUAUUUAGUUUGUCUAAAGGUUAAUGUUAAGGCAGGAAGGCAAUUAAGCAGACAUUAGGACAAGUAUUUCUCCUUUCCCCCCAUCCAGGAGCAAGCUGUGAGCCAAGUACAGUUCUAAAGUACCAAUUAUUCUUGCUUACGGUAAAUAAAAGCAGAAGCUGCCCUCUGAAUAUAACCCCAUGUGGGGCUUUCAAGCCCAUUAUUUGCAUCAACAUAAACCCUUCGUCUCCAUGUGGCAAGUCAAGCUCCCCUAAACAGAGGUGUCUGACAGUCCUCUGUUCUCCCUCUGUCAGAGCAUCCAAAGAUAGAAUCCUACAAUACAAGUGGUCUUCUCUGAAGGCAUUAGUUUUAUAAAGUAACAUCUAUGGAUAUCUGAGUUUUACGUCAUCCUCUAGCAUUUUUACCAGUCUAAAAUGAGAGUUCAAAUCUCCUAAUGUUGGUCAUGCUAUUAAUUCACCUAUCACUCAGCACACAAUCAGCAGGCUUAGUUUAAAAAACAAAACAAUUUAUUAUUUGUAGUGCAAAUCAACUCAUCCUAACGCCUAAAGUAAUACUCGAAAUAUAUAAGUACUAUGUAUUUAUUAGCACAUUAUUUAAUUACAUUUUGGACUUUUCAGCUUCUCCCUAAUCACUUGUGUGUCUGUAAGUACUACUUCCUGGCCACAGACUUGAAGGUACAGUGCUGGAAUUUUCUUUUAUGUGGAGGUGGGAGAGAAGCAAUAUUUCAAGUCCAUAAAAAUAUGUAAUAUAAAGAGCACCUACUAAUGCUCCCAAAUUGAAAAGGCAUUCAAAGCCCCAGAUGCCAGGGAACCCAAGCUCCAGUCAGACAUCUACAGGCCCAACUUCUGUAUUUGUUUGGUUUAAACAGCCUAUGUAAUAACAUUUAAAGGUAUAGACGAAAAUCCCCCAUGAAAUCCUAGCAGGGUUUCAAGGGCCCUCACAAAAAAAAUAAGAACAGAAUUUCCCAUGUUAAAGUCGUGUCUGUUCAUAAAAACAAUCUGAAUUCCAAAAUGGAAAAAAGAAAAUCAUUAGAAAAGGAAAUGCUUCAUAUUUUAACCUACACAGCUGGCUGACUGACUUACCGUGCACAGCACCAGACAAUAAAGGCCUUUAUAUUGAGCCAUUUCUUGCCUGAAGAGCUGAGAAUCAACUGGGCUAGCAUUACUAAUCUGUAUGAUUAGUAAAAAUCAAAUCAACAAGUGCAGUGUGUUUGGCAGCAUUAAUGGAAUUAACUCAAGAAAACUUUGCACAAUAUGAAGCACUUCACAAAGAAAAUUCAAAAUACCUGGAAUCUAGAAGAAUUAAGAUAGCUUAGCUUAGUAACAGUUACUAAAUGCUUUCUAUCGGAGUCAAGUUGAAAAGAACUACAACUCUUUUGAAGGCAGAGACUUUUAUACCCCCCUUAAGCACCAGGCCACUGCCUAGAAACAGCCACUUAGAUGACACAUACUUAGACAGGUACAAUGAACAUCUCACUAAAAGAUGCAGCAGAUUAUAGACAUUGCUAUUCCUUCCAUAUAAACACACGCAUUUAAAAGUAGAACUUGAACAUUCUUUUACAUUACUUAAACUAAAAUUUUUAAGACUUAAGAAAGUUAUAAUGAAUUAGUGAUUAUUAGCUAUUUUAAUGCAUCAAUCUUCACUUUUCAAUGUUGUUCAAUAAAGUAGAAAAAAAUUGUAUAGUGCCUAGCAUUCAGAGCUAGUCAGAAGCUUUUCAAAUUACAUUUUAUCAUUAUAAAGAUGUAAGUUUCAUACAGUGUUUUCACAACACAGGUCCUUUGUUGCAAUGUUAGCUUUCAAACAACUGGCACCAAGAUAAUGAAAGUGAUUCAGAUAUCUGAAAGAAUUCAUUUGGGGAAAAGGUGGCAACAUGAGAGCUAACAUCCAUAUUGAAGUUAAAGUGACAAGAUACAUAUAAGAGCAAGUGAUGUUUAUCUUGCAUAUUCUCAGUCCUGAACCAGAGGUAAUGAAAAUAAGAAUGGUUUGCAAAGACUUGAGGAGCUUAUCUUGUGCUCUAUAACUUCAGGUUUCCAAUGUAGGAAACAAACACGUUUGUCUUUAACAGAUGUCUCCAAUGAGGUCUCAGAAGUUUAAGCAUUGCCGUAUGAUUGACCAAGAAAUGAAAAAUAUUUAAGACCCACAAAAUACAACUGGAACACAUUCUCCACAACAUGUGGGAUCACAGGUGUCUAACAUUAAUAAGCUUUUUUUAAAACUUAAAGCUCACACCCCCACCUCCCCCUUCUCCCGCCCCUUUAAAUGCCUUUCACUUUUUCCAUCAACUAUGAAAGACAGCAGAAGGUCAAAUAGAUAAAGAGCCUACCAUGUCAGCAGACUUGAGAAAUGUCCUGUUCAUCAUAAGGGUCCCUCAUCUCCACUGUUGAUGCUGUUUUGCACCAGCAACACUUUCAGUACAGGCAAACAAAUCAAAAACCAGACCAAUCCCAGAGUCAACCAUCUGUGAAUCUUCCACAGUGACAGAAUAAAUACAAGGAGACAAAGAAUAACUGCAAAUAAAACAGGUAUCCUUGAGAUAUUUCUGUCUACUAGAAAGUGUUUUCAUCUAAUGCUAAGCCUAUAUUUUACAGACAAGUAUCUUUAUAAUCCAGUGCAACAUUAGCCUAAUUUUUCACAUUACCUUCAUAUAUAACAUAUACAGUAACAAACUCUUAUGUAACUUAUUAAGAAACUAACAGAAGUUGCUUCUCCUUGUUAAAUAAUAAAGAAAACACCUCACAAACUGAAAAAAGCUGCUUUGCUAUUAACCAUAUCCAAUGUUAAAAAAAAAAGGGGGGGGGGAAAGAUGAGCACAGUCGCCCUUUUAUUUCUCAAAACUGGAAUGGAAGCUAUUUCUGUAUAUAAGAAAAAGCACUGUCCUUUUACAAAAAUAAAAGAAUGGUUCCAGACAUCAAGACUAUGAUAGUUUACUCAAAAUUACAUCAACUCAUUUAAUGAUUAUUAAGGCAUGUUAUACGGGGAAAAAAAAAACAAACAAACCAAAAACAGAAUUUUAGUAAACAAUUCCAGUUUUUCUAUAUUCUCAUCUAAAGCCAUUCAGAGCUGAGAAAUAAUAUUUUGAAGCAGCUAAAUCUCUGUAAAUGAUGCAGUUAAGGGUUUCUGACAUCAGUUUGGGUUCUGGAAGCAAUAUAAAUCAAUAUAGUACUCCAGCUGCCAAUUAACCCUUCUGCCAAGCCUGACUCAGAAUGCAUUCACAUAGUUCCUUCGGUUCCCAUUCCCCUCUGAAUAGCCUGGCACUGGAAAGACAGGCAUACCCACAGGAUCCUGGUCCACAUUCAUCAGUUGAAGGGAAUUCCUCUCUUCUGUAAUACUAAAGUGCAGUCCCACAACUCAGUGAGUUGAGCACUGGAGAAUCGUGUUUUCGGAACAGAAUAUAAAGAUAUUGGCUUCAGCAGAGCUUCGCUGCUAAAAGAAUAUCGUUGUAGAUUUUGCUCUACUCAGAAUUCCAGCUUCAGAGCACCAGUUACCAAAUAAGAGCAGUUUUGAAAAAUAGAACAAGUUGAAGCAAAAGAAAAAAUCUGUCCUGUUAUUACCACAUCAGUUGUAGCCUGAAUUGAAGUUGUCAAAUCACCUAUAAUUAUGUUUGGUAUCAUCUAAUUGCCAGCAGCAAAAUAGCAAGCACCUCAGAGGUUGCUUGAUCCCAGCAACAUGGAGCAGCCAGCAGCAAGCAGACAUUAAUAGUCACUUCAGAUUUUUUGUGAUUUUGUCAGUUCUGAGCUCUCAGAAAGAGUCAAGUUCUGCAAUGUCUACCUGGCAGCUCUAUCAGCAGAGCCAGCAUUACCUCCCUUUCCUACUUAUGUCCCAAACUUCUAUUGCAGAUAUACAAGGACCUAUUAAAAAAAAAAAAAACAAACCACAGCUGAUAUUUUAGCAGGUACAUUCACUACAGAAAUCUUGGUGAUUUACAUGAGAAGGAGAGGAGGGAAUUACAAGAGAAUCAAGUAAGAGAACUGGAAUACAGCUUCACCAUUGUGAAUGUGGAGGAAAAAAAACAGAUUUGCACAUGAUCUUUCACAGAUAUCACCAUGCGAUCCCUCCAACCUGGAUUAACUUGAGAAAAUUCCACAUUCACAUUUUAUGACUCAUUCCAGGGCAGACACACUGUGGAAACAUUCCUCGACACCUUUUUGUUAUCUGACCCUUGGGUGGUUCUGCAAAUAAUUCAAUACUUUCACUAACAAUGAACACAAUGGGUUAGGAAUAUUUCCUUGCCUUUGCUUAUUCUCACAGUGCCCUGCAGAUGACCAAUUCCAAUCAGACUGAUGAGUACAUAAUUCUCCAGGGGACAAUUAAAUCCAGACUCUCUAAGAAGAUCCAUGAUGCAGCACGGAGGGGAUGGAAGGAACAGCAGUUGUAAUGAAUACAUAACAUUUAGGCACUAUCAGAAGAAACGCUGCCAGCAUUUAAAUGACAAAGAACAAUGAAAGCUCAGUCUAGGUAAGAAUGAAUAAAAGGAAAUAAAUAGGUUUCUAGAAGCAAAAAAGAAAAAUAUUAAUGCAAACAGAGCUCUGAAGGAGUAGAGAGAUACCUCUGCUCAAACAAAAAUAGAUAUUGGAAGUCAUAAGAUAUAAAGUAAACUAGUUAAAAAGCAGAGGAAAGGAACAGCAUUUUAAAGGUGAAAUGAUUACUCCACCAUAACAUCAGUACAGCAGAUCUGAUUAAAUUCAAGGCAUUAACACCCCUUAACUUAAUACUGAUUUCUAUUGGGAAACUUCAAAUUAUCAGUUAAGAAAACUCAUUUUGGUUGGGAAGUUUUAAUUUUAAGCAAUUACUUCCUUAUUGACAUUAGUUACCUCAUCUACAAGUUAUGAAUGUGGACCUUUGACAUAUUAGGAAGGUACUAUUACAACUAUUAGUUACUGCAUUUAGCUUAUUAAUCAGCAUUAUUAAUAACCAUUAUAUAGAACAUCCUGCUUGUCUGACAGUUGUGUGUUAAGGUAUAUUUAGGAGAAAUUCAUAACUUGAUUAAUUGCAAAUGUAUUUUAAUACUAAGACUUUGUAUUCUGCAAAAUAAAUAUUUAAAUACAAAUGUCUUUUAUUUCACUGAGUAAUCACGUAAUUUUGUUAGUUAAAGGUAACAAGCUAACUUAUUUGAUUGGGCAUUAAGAGAGAUAAUUGAGUGGUAUGACUUUCAGAAGGAUUAACACAGAUUAACUGCCUAACUCCUACUGGAGAUGUGAAAUAUUGUCCACUUCUUCCUCAGAAUUGCUUCUCAACUAUGAAAGAGUAGAUAAAUUUUUAACUUCUCUUUGGUUAACAGAUGAAUUAUAACACCUUUCUUGCAUAACAUGAAUCAAAAGUAGUAUUAUUUAGAAAAAAAUGCAUGUAUUGUUUUUAUAGCCUUAAAUACUUAAUGAGAAAGACAUCGUGGAAGUUAGAAUUAAACACUGACUCUGAUUCUCUCCUACCUACAUAUCAUUUAUAGAAGAGAUGGUCAUUUUCAUUGUUUACACUUCAAGCAUCUGUCAAAGGUAUAGUAAAACUGAUCAGGAAAAAGAACACAGUCUAGGCCUUUAGCACAUAUAAUGAAGUAUUUUGAAAUGAAGAUGUAAAGUUACAGUCAUCAGAUAGACAAGAGCUUAGAGAAACUGAGAGUAAUCACGUAAGACAAUGAAGUUAAUUUGAAAAGUGAAUUAAACUUGCAUGGGCAAGCUGUCACUGAGAAGAGAUGCCUUGCUACUUUCUUCUACUUUUUCUCUACAGAGCAAAUACAGAAGUUUAACAUAUCUUAAUGUCACCAGAGGUAUUUCAUUUUAGCUCUCAAACAUUCUCAUAAAGAUCUGUAUCUAUUUGUACAAUCAAAGUUUUCCAGAAUAAAUACAGAAGAAAUGUGAUAGCCCUGUAAAGACAAAAUACAGAAAAGUCACUUUAUAUUUUAUCACCCCUCUUCCAUUUUCACUCAGCAGUUACAUAAAACGUUGUCUCAUCUUUUAAAAGGCCUCCAGAUGACAGUUUAAGAUGUACUUCAUAGGGCACUGCCAAACACAUAGGACCAUCACUCUUGGAUUCUUCUCUUCAACCCACGUGCCACCUCUCACUGUGUCUUAUUCUGGUACACCUGCUUCUAGGUAAUCUGUGGCCAGGUAGGAAGACUACCCAUAACAGUAAUAAAAGAUGUCACACAGAAGAAAGCUGUUUCUUAGAUGAAGCAGCUUUCCCAAUCCACCACAUAACUUCAGAAAUGCUUGCACUUGAAGCUUCACAACAAGUACCACUAAGUCAGGGGAUAUACAGCUAUUUUCUUUCUAGGCAGAAAUGUCAGAGAAAAUUAUACAUACACUUAAGUGAUAUUCUGAGUUGUACGCCUGCUACUGAAACCAGUAAAUAUUGUUUAUCUC
ensembl:lncRNA